AUACUUACCUGGCAGGGGAGAGACCGUGGUCACGAAAGGGCUUCUCCCAGAGUGAAACUUCCUCAUCGCACUCUAGACUUGCUGAUCCCGGUGAUUUCCUCAAUGUGGGAAACGGUGUUUGUGCCAGAAGAGGGCUGCGCUGACAUAACCGGGUUCAAGACUGACAUGGCCUCAC
ensembl:snRNA U1 U1 spliceosomal RNA